CCAUCUCCAAUCUAUGACCCAUCUUCUUCCUCAANCCAAAAGGGGCAAAAUCACCAUUGAAGAAGCUUGAAGACCCAAGGAGGAGUGGGAGAGCUUCCCAACACCCCAAAUAGCCUCCAAGGGCCUCUCACAAUCUCUCUAGGUGAAGAAUGAAGUGUAGGAGGAGAAGUCCCUCAAAAAUCCCAAGACCCAUGUUUAAAUAACCCAUUUUUGACAUAUCAGCGAGAAUUCGCGCCCAGCUCGGAAUUCUCACGCCCAGCGCCACUUUUCACUGCACCAGAUGUGAAUUCCAGCAAGAUCUCGCGCCCAGCGCGGAUUCCUGGCGCCCAGCUCCAUUCUGUGGCGCCCAGCCUG
rnacentral:lncRNA from 1 species